rnacentral:miRNA from 1 species
GGUCAGCUGACACAUCCCGGCCAAUCUCCAGCAGACCCUCCCUCCCAGACCCUCCCACCUCCUGGAUAGCAUCCAUGUUCAAGGCAGCUUCAACAUGGAUGCUGUCCAGGAGGUGGGAGGGUCUGGGAGGGAGAGUCUGCUGCUGAUUGGCCGGGAUGUGUCAGCUG